AUGGCGAGCCCGCUCUCCAUUGGCCGCGCGCUUGAGCGCGAGCUCAAGAUCCCUCCGUACCUGCUUCGCGUCACCAACCACGACCCUGAGGACUUCUUCGUCUACUUCACUCUGCCGGCACACAAGGACCUGGCGGUGCGGCGCGGUUCGCUGUCGGUGGACGGCGUGCCGUUCCUGCUCGAGCCAUGGAGGGAGGACGCCCAUGCUGUCCGGCUCAAGUGGAUGCUGCACGUGCGCGUGGUCAUCGAGAAGCUUCCCAUGCAGCUUUGGAUGAUGGAGGGCACGGAGGAGGCCAUCGGUGACAAGGUCAUCGUCGACCGCCUCGACAGCCGGACCCACGAGCGCGUCGACACCAAGCUUUUCGCCUGCUGGGUCUGGUGC
rnacentral:rRNA from 1 species